GCCAGGCGCGGUGGCGCACGCCUGUAAUCCCAGCACUUUGGGAGGCCAAGCUGGGUGGAUCACCUGAGGUCAGGAGUUCAAGACCAGCCUGACCUACAUGGUGAAACCCAGUUUCU
ensembl:misc_RNA Metazoa_SRP Metazoan signal recognition particle RNA